rnacentral:rRNA from 1 species
AUUGAACGCUGGCGGCAUGCCUUACACAUGCAAGUCGAACGGCAGCACGGGAGCCAUCCUGGUGGCGAGUGGCGAACGGGUGAGUAAUGUAUCGGAACGUACCUUUCAGCGGGGGAUAACGUAGCGAAAGUUACGCUAAUACCGCAUAUUCUGUGAGCAGGAAAGCAGGGGAUCGCAAGACCUUGCGCUGAUUGAGCGGCCGAUAUCAGAUUAGCUAGUUGGUGAGGUAAAGGCUCACCAAGGCGACGAUCUGUAGCGGGUCUGAGAGGAUGAUCCGCCACACUGGAACUGAGACACGGUCCAGACUCCUACGGGAGGCAGCAGUGGGGAAUUUUGGACAAUGGGCGCAAGCCUGAUCCAGCCAUGCCGCGUGAGUGAAGAAGGCCUCGGUU